GUCCACGCCCUAAACGAUGUCAACUAGUUGUCGGGGAUUCGUUUCCUUGGUAACGCAGCUAACGCGUGAAGUUGACCGCCUGGGGAGUACGGCCGCAAGGUUAAAACUCAAAAGGAAUUGACGGGGACCCGCACAAGCGGUGGAUGAUGUGGAUUAAUUCGAUGCAACGCGAAAAACCUUACCUACGCUUGACAUGCCAGGAACCUCGAAGAGAUUUGAGGGUGCCCGAAAGGGAACCUGGACACAGGUGCUGCAUGGCUGUCGU
rnacentral:rRNA from 1 species